GGAGGAUCAUUACAACAGCCGGGGACGCC
rnacentral:rRNA from 1 species